rnacentral:lncRNA from 1 species
UAAAUUGAAGUGCUAUUACUCUUUCUCCCUUUUUCUUACUGACACCUCUAAAUCUGUAAAUCAAUUAUCUAUGUGGACACUUACCUUUCUCUUAAAGUUGCUAAAUCAAUAUGCAUAAAAAAUUACUACAGCUCUCUGAAGAGGACGGCUAAUAUUCAUUCUCAGCUUCAACUUCCAGUUGCAUUAAUACCGAAUCUCUGUUUCCUUUCCCCCUUUCUGAAUGAAGUAUGAAUGUUAUAACUUAACUAAAUUUAGGAGCUUGUUGUUAUUUCACUUGCUUUCUCAUUCGUGGUCCAGUGUCUAAUAUAGUACCCAAAGACAGAGAGAACCUGGAGGCGGCAAACUUUUUCUGCGUUUUUUCUAAAACUCUGACAUAGAAGAAUUAGAAGUAGGGAUAAAGUGGAGGUAUAUGAUAUAAUUUAGCCACAGCGAAAUGCGAAGAAAAAUCAUUGGUACUCCUCAAGAGAAAUACAGAUAGAGAUGAAUCACAAACACUCAAAAAAAUAGAGAAGACAGAAUAUGCAUAAGAAAGUUAACAGAUAUGGUAAUUCAUUGAAGAAUUUUCUCAAACACCUAGAGAACAAAAGUCAUAGAGAUACCCACCAAAAAAUACGAUUGACGAAAGGAAACACACUAAAGUUCAAACUUGACUACAAUAGGAAAGACGAAGAGAGCAGAUGUUCUGGAUUUUUCUUAGUUGGAGAUGGCGCCACUUCUCUACGGUCGAGAAACCAGCGGUCUUUGAAAUGACGGAAAUAUCCUCGGACUAAUAUUUAAUUCCAUGGAAGCGCACAUGUUGACCGAGAUGUGCUUGCUACACAAAGGUAGACCAAAAAUUGGAAGGAAGAAGACAACAAAGAGAAAUUUUAGCAAAAAUUGAAAGGAAAGCAUACCUGGAUCUGGAUGAGAAGAUGAAGAAAAGAGUUAGCUGUUGGACGAUGGUGCUCUUUUUUUUGUUAGAGAUGAGAAAGAAAAAGGAUCCUUCUAGAGUUCUAUUUUAACCCUUAUGAUGUAAUUACUAUAUUGCCCUUAAAUAAAGUUAGAUUUGCAAAGAUGCCAUUCGUCGACCAUCUUGCUCUUUCUAUAUAACUAGU